UACUUCUUCAUGAACAAGACAAGAUGGCGCC
rnacentral:piRNA from 1 species